GGUUGGUGGGGUAACGGCCCACCAAGCAUGCGAUGCCUACCGGGUGUGCGAGCAUGGCCCGGCACACUGGGACUGAGACACUGCCCAGACUCCUACGGGAGGCUGCAGUCGAGAAUCUUCGGCAAUGGGCGCAAGCCUGACCGAGCGACGCCGCGUGGAGGACGAAGGCCUUCGGGUUGUAAACUCCUGUCGAGGGGAAGGAAGGGGCCGCGAGGCCCUUGACCGCUCCCUGGAGGAAGCACGGGCUAAGUUCGUGCCAGCAGCCGCGGUAAGACGAACCGUGCGAACGUUAUUCGGAAUCACUGGGCUUAAAGCGCGUGUAGGCGGGUCGGUGCGUCGGCCGCUGAAAUCUCCCGGCUCAACCGGGGAAGUGGCGCCGAAACGACCGGCCCGGAGCGACGUAGGGGGGACUGGAACUUCCGGUGGAGCGGUGAAAUGCGUUGAGAUCGGAAGGAACGCCCGCGGCGAAAGCGAGUCCCUGGACGUCGGCUGACGCUGAGACGCGAAAGCCAGGGGAGCGAACGGGAUUAGAUACCCCGGUAGUCCUGGCCGUAAACGAUGGGCACUGGGUAGGGGGCUCGCCGAUGGGCUCCCUGCCGUUAGGGAAACCGUGAAGUGCCCCGC
rnacentral:rRNA from 1 species